CUGUGGAGGAUAGUCAGUCAGCGUGUGGGAUGCCUGUUGUGCAGAAGCCUCCUAGACGCUCUCCAGGGUUAUGCAUUUGACAUACGCAAGUAAAAGACCGCCAGGCUCUUUUGCCAUUUCCUGUUUCCUCGUGGGAAGAUGAUGAGUCAAUCCUACAGCACGGAUCCAAGAACUUUGACAUGGACGUCCUCUUGUGGGUAAUGCGGAUGACUAUUGAAAAAAAGCAUUUUGAUUGUGGCCUUUAGGGAUGAAACUGACAAUUUGCAAAAUGUCUGUUCGGUUACUUUUGACAGCAUGGCGGAGACAUUUUUAUUUAAUUUUGCACGAGGGGAGUUCAACGAAACCAUAACGUGAGACCGGCAACAGAGCCAUCUCGUACCAAACAAACAGCAGGGCAUGACAAUCAUUUAAUGGUACACGCACAAGUCGGCCUGUGGCUUCUGUUGAGCAACGCACAAUUCACGUGUUCAAUAGGAAGUAGGGCAAUUACACACGCAGCCAAAAGGAAUAAGAAGUGUGCCAGGAUUUGCCAGUCAGAUUUACAGCAAUGCACACAUGACCUCCCCUGACCUGCCCACGGAUGUGCUCACGCUUCAGUAGAGGCUGGUGGGAGUUUAGAGGGAAUUAGCAGCCCCCAAGCCGAGAAGAACCUGAGGAAAGUCCAUGGUUCAUUGCUUCAACCUUUACCACUGGAGAGAAAAAGACAGCACGAAAGAAACAGAUUCACAGCGAGAUCAACUUUUUAUCUAAGUCAUUUUUUAGUUUUUGUUUUCUGUUUUGCAAAUAAAAUUUGAC
ensembl:lncRNA